rnacentral:rRNA from 1 species
CAGUAGCCGCGGGAAUACAGAGGGUGCGAGCGUUAAUCGGAUUUACUGGGCGUAAAGCGUGCGUAGGCGGCUUCUUAAGUCGGAUGUGAAAUCCCUGAGCUUAACUUAGGAAUUGCAUUCGAUACUGGGAAGCUAGAGUAUGGGAGAGGAUGGUAGAAUUCCAGGUGUAGCGGUGAAAUGCGUAGAGAUCUGGAGUAAUACCGAUGGCGAAGGCAGCCAUCUGGCCUAAUACUGACGCUGAGGUACGAAAGCAUGGGGAGCAAACAGGAUUAGAUACCCCCGUAGUCCCUGUCUCUUAUAC